CCUGCAACACACACACACACUCCUCCGUGACACGCACCCCUCCUGGUGUUGGGAAGGGAACAGGAGAAAGGUCAAAAGAAGCAAGAGACGAAGAGAAAGGAGCAGGGGAUGGAGGAAAAGGUGAAACAAAAAGGACAAACCCUAACAUCCCCAGUGAUUCUAAGGGACAAAAUCCCAGGUGCGGAAUAAAAUUCUGCCUCCUUAAGCUCGUUUUUUCCAUGCCUAGAAUUCAACCAUCACCAGAUGGCUCAGACUGAACUGAUUUCAAACCUCGAGGAGGCUCUUACCUUCUAAACAGGGACGGCUGUUUUCUAGUAAAAUCACUAAAAGGGCAGGAGAAAACUCGAAAGAGGUUCCUCCUUGGGCUCAUGUAUGU